GAGUUAGUAAUGAUUAUAAAAAUAAUUCUUCAUUCUAACUUGCUUAAUUUGAGCAUGAAAACCCUCUUAUUACAACCAUAGAAUCUGAGUUGC
rnacentral:snoRNA from 1 species